CCCUGCCUGGCUCCAACACCCCUCCAUUGUGCCUGGUUCUGGGCUGGGCACUAGAGCCAGAGAUGCUGGCAGUUCUGAGCCAAAGUGGAGACCAAAAAGUAAAGUGACAAUCACCAAUUCUGGCUGGCAGCCAGAGUCCUGAGGUGGGCUUCCCUCUGCACAAGACUCUCACCUGCACACUUGCAGGCUUUGGCCCAUGCAAUCCCAAGAGCCAGGAAGGACUUUUGAGCAGAAGGACUGCUCAAAAGCCCUUUCUGGCUCUCUACCCCUUAAAACUCAACUCGACCUUCAAUUGGAGUCCGGGUUCCUGAGGGCUUCUCCAAGACAUACAAGGUGCAUAAUAAAUGUUUGAUGAAUCGUCAAAUGACUGGAGUCCCAUGUGGCUCUCCUUGAUCCUUCCUCUAUGGGUCCACGGUGCUACAGCAGUGCCUGAGCACAGGGCCCUCAGGAAAACGUCUUCUGAACAAAGGAUGGGCAAGAGGCUGUCCUAGGGAGUUGGGGCAGGGUGGGCCUCAGGAAGUGUCCUACUGGGGCACACAGCUGGGGUCUGGGGGUAGGUGGCCAGUCCUGGGCCUGUCAGCACCACGGCCAGCUCCCUGCGCAAGAGCCCUGGAGAAAGGGGCGGGGUACAGCCUGAGAGCAUAAUGAUGUCAGUCGCCAUGGGAACUGACAACUGCGAUGUGCCUCCGUCAGUACUCCAACCACUGGGGACGGCAUGACAGAUUAAACACCAACUAUGUGCCAGGCCAGGCCCUGUGCUAGAUGCUGGGGCAGUGACAGACCCUGAGUGGAUGGGAGGCAUCAGAGGGGUAAUUACAAGGCAGGGAGACAAGCGGUGGCCAUGUUGGGGUCACCCUACCUGGCCUGGGGGGGUCAUGAUGUAAGGACACACCAGCUGCCUCAUUAGCAGAGUGACAGUGUCUGUCCCCGACUUCACAUCCAGAUGUCUGAGCUUUACAUCCUAACUCUGUGAGCUUAGGCAAAUCCCUCCCUCCUCUCUGAGCCUUAGUUUCUGCGUCUGCAAAAGGGGUUAAUUCCUUACAACAAAGUGCCAGGGUCCUUGUGGUAGCUGCCUAAGUGGUACCCGUUGUUAGCAUUGUUUAUGGUCGCUAUCAACAGGUAAGUAGGAAAAAGCUAGGGAAAGGGAAGGAUCCCACAGAACGGACUGCACAGGCCACCACAUGGAGACUUGAGAGAGAGGAGCAAACAGAGAACAUGAAGGAGCUCCAGGCUGCUGGAGAGCAAACCCUCCUGGUGAGUCACUGAGAGCACCUUACCUAUGCAGGGCCAGGCAGGGACCCCCCUAACCUCAGGGCAGGGAGAUCUGUUUCCUCUGCACUAGUGCUAGUUCAGGACAGGGACUCAGAGAAGGUGCCAGAAGGAGGGGCAGUCAUUGCCACUGGCAACAGGCCUGGCUGGCCCUCUCCCAGAGCCAUGGACCUCUGAAGGGCAGUUUCACUCUUCCCAGAGAGCCAGGGAUCCCAAGGUGCAAAGUUUGGAGCCAGGGGCAGGCUGAGCCUCUGUUCUCCUAGUUCCAGCCUCGGCUCUUUAAUGAAAAUUGUCAGUCAAGUAAGACUCCAUCAUCACCUUCCAGCAAAGAAGGAGUGGGGAGAUCUGAGAAUCGAUACUGAACAGCUUCAGUACUACGAUGCCAUAAUGGGGCUGUGAGCUCAGCCGAAAGCCCCCCGCCCAGUUUUUUUUGGAAGUGGUCAUAGAAUCUCUCUGGAGAAACAACAUGGAAAUGGAGACCAAAAGAGGGAAGGAGGGAUGCCACCAGAUGACACUGGGAUCCCGGAAGACGGAACACUGUGUGCAACGGGCAAAGGCUCAGUACUUUACAGACGUCACCUCACGUAACCCACGCCACAACCGGGAGAAAGACAUGAUUGGCGUUGUACCCACGAGGAAACAGAGAGGGAAGGGAGCUGUCCAGGACCACAGGGUUGGUUGGUGGAGCAGGCAGGAAAGCCUCACGGAAGAGGUUGGUCUGGGCCAGACAGGGUUUGAGGAUUCAGGCCCCAAGGGACGGGGAGGAAGAAGACUGGGUCCUUGUGCAAGAAUGGCCCAAGAGUAUUUAAAAGACGCAGUGGCCCAGGUCGGGGGAGGAGAGUGGACAAAAGUGGCUGGCAAGGGCUGGCCUUAGCUUUUAGCCCAAUGCUAAGAUCAGUAGAUGCUUCUGGGGGUCAGGCUGGGGCACAAAUGAAUGGAGCCUUCGAGGCAGGGGUUAGGAAACAGGACAGGACACUCGGCCCAAAUGACAGCGCCACCACUCCACAUCCCAGAGUUCAUAAGCUCUCUCAAUGUUUGUUUUAUUUAAAUCUCCAAGAGUCAAACGCCACUCACCACCCAUGUGUGGGUCAGCCUCCAGCUUUCCACCUCUGCUGUGAGUGAGGGUAGAGGGGCG
rnacentral:lncRNA from 1 species